UGCUGAAGUCCAGUCUCAGAAUGGUCUGUUGCAUAUUCUUUAAACAGAGGAGUUAAUGAGCAAAUGACUUCAUUGCCUCAUUUUAAGGGUCAGUUGGCACAUCUGCCGUGACUACACCACUCGCUUCCUGGCACUGGUAUCAGCGAAGACACCUGGUUUCUUCCUGCUCUGCGCAGAGGGAGAGGCAUGAGGGGUUGAGACAUCUGUAUGGGGAAGAAAAGAAGAAAAGGCCA